UACAGAGGGGGCAAGCGUUGUUCGGAAUUACUGGGCGUAAAGGGCGCGUAGGCGGCCUGCUAAGUCGAACGUGAAAUCCCCGAGCUCAACUCGGGAACUGCGUCCGAUACUGGUUGGCUUGAAUCCGGGAGAGGGAUGCGGAAUUCCAGGUGUAGCGGUGAAAUGCGUAGAUAUCAGGAGGAACACCGGUGGCGAAGGCGGGUCUCUGGACAGUUCCUGACGCUGAGGCACGAAGGUCAGGGGAGCAAACGGG
rnacentral:rRNA from 1 species